AUUGAACGCUGGCGGCAUGCUUUACACAUGCAAGUCGAACGGUAACAGGUUAAGCUGACGAGUGGCGAACGGGUGAGUAAUGCAUCGGAACGUGCCCGAUCGUGGGGGAUAACGCAGCGAAAGCUGCGCUAAUACCGCAUACGAUCUGAGGAUGAAAGCGGGGGACCGUAAGGCCUCGCGCGAUCGGAGCGGCCGAUGUCAGAUUAGGUAGUUGGUGGGGUAAAGGCUCACCAAGCCAACGAUCUGUAGCUGGUCUGAGAGGACGAACAGCCACACUGGGACUGAGACACGGCCCAGACUCCGACGGGAGGCAGAAGGGGGGAAUUUUGGACAAUGGGCGAAAGCCUGAUCCAGCAAUGCCGCGUGCAGGAAGAAGGCCUUCGGGUUGUAAAUUGCUUUUGUACGGAGCGAAAAGGUUCUCUCUAAUACAGAGGGCUCAUGACGGUACCGUAAGAAUAAGCACCGGCUAACUACGUGCCAGCCGCCGCCGUAA
rnacentral:rRNA from 1 species